CAGCCGCCACGGUAAUACGAAGGGGGCUAGCGUUGCUCGGAAUGACUGGGCGUAAAGGGCGCGUAGGCGGAUUGUUUAGUUAGGCGUGAAAUUCCUGGGCUUAACCUGGGGACUGCGCUUAAUACAGGCAGUCUAGAGUGAGGAAGAGGGUUGUGGAAUUCCCAGUGUAGAGGUGAAAUUCGUAGAUACUGGGAAGAACACCGGUGGCGAAGGCGGCAACCUGGUCCUUGACUGACGCUGAGGCGCGAAAGCGUGGGGAGCAAACAGGAUUAGAUACCCGCGUAGUCCCUGUCUCUUAUAC
rnacentral:rRNA from 1 species